GAUUUUCUGACUUAGGUCUGGAGCGGAACCUGAUAAUUUGCAUUCCUAACAAGUUUCAGGUGAUGUGAAUUCUAUGAUCUGUGUCCACACAUUUUUAAAAGCCACUGCUCUAGACUCUGCUAAGAUGCCUGAGUGUUUCUCCACUUGCCCUCUCUUCCACCUCCUUACAUCUAGACCAGACUUCUCUGAGCCCAAAAGGACUAGAAGGAGUUGCUCAGCUAAUUUUGGGGCUCCUUUUAGAAGAAAUUGUUUCAUAUGUAGCUGUAGAUUCUGUGGCUUCAUGCAAAGAGAUCAAAAGGAUGGCCAGAGGCUACUGUGUUCAAUCCAGAAAUCUGCAGGAGAUAGUGCCUGGGCCUGGAAAGCAGCUCUGCUCCUCAGGAACAUCUGCUCACAGAAAAUGAUCAGAGAGAACGUUGACACGAGUCAUGCAAACUACCACGGACAUGCUGGGGUCCAAAGGCAUUAAAUUUGAAAGAGACAGUUCCAGAAUGCCUGCUUGUCGGGAGGAGGAGGUGGAGCUAGGUUGUAAGUACGUUUUGGCCUCCAUAUCUGUAACCUGGACAAGUUCUCUCUCUGGCUCAGGAGGAGAAGGCAAUGGAAUCAAGCCUGCCAAGACUAUAAAAGCUUUUUCAAGACUGUGAUCUGUUAGAUAAACAAUUUUCCUUCUGCUCCUCAUUCCAUAAAUCCACGCUGACUCUGACUGAUUUUUGUGUGUAUCUCAGAAUAUAAAAUCUUCUACUAACCACAAAGUAAUGGGACCUAUUCAUCUAAUUGAUCACCCCUCCACGGUACAAAUAUCCAAAGCAAUGAAGUAAGAGGAGGAAUGCAGAGCUGAGAAAGAUUAGCAGAGCUAUUGCACUUGUUGAAAUCAGUCAGUGAAUAAGAUACUCGCUUUUUAAAGAAAUAUAUAUUUUUAGGUUUAAAAAAAUGAUAGAAGUGUUAGUGUUAAAGGUUUUCUUCAAGACAUUGAAGAAAAGACAUUUUCAUUGCUUUUUCUUUUUACUUUGGAGAUACCAUAUUUUCCUCCUCUUAGGACUUCUUAGCACACUUAUCUUUAAUCCAGAGAGAGUCAGAAUUGUGCAAAAUAAAGAAGUAUACCCUGACAUACAUCAACAUGGAGCUUUUUCCUUUGGGAUUCUCCCCUGCAUUUGCAUAGACACAGUUUAUUGUAGUUGCUUUAUAAGAAGGUAAGUAAAUAAAGUCAGUUUGCAUAAGGAAUGUCUUGCACAACUUUUCGUUGUGAUGCUCACUUCCUAUCUCCCAUUCCUUCUCAUCCUCUCAAAAUCAAGCAAUAAAAAUUGAACUUUAGUUCAAUUCGAACUCUUUAGAAGAGUUUAGUUAAUUUUAUUUUAGAUUUUGAAUUUCUUUAGUAAUUAUUUCAAAAAUAGGUGGAGCACAGGGCUUAUUUGGUUUUUAACACCCAAAGGAUCCUGGGCUUUUUAAAGCUCUUUGUAUAUUUAAGUAGUAUUGUCGUUCUUAAGGUCAACAGAAUACCAGUGGUUUAAAAUCCAUGAAACCCUAGUGACCUGUCAAUUUGUAGGCCAUUUAGCCAGGUAUAGAAUGAGUUAAAAGCCCGUCUAUAAACAGUCUACCCAAAUAGAGUGU
ensembl:lncRNA